UUACUUUUUCAUGUGCAUGGGAAUAAUGAGGCAUUACUUACCUUACAAGGGCAUUACUUGCUACAACAAACAGCAGAGGAAUAAACCUGCUUACUUUCACAUUCCUUUACAAAGAAAUGCUCGCCUCCACACUCGAACAGGUCGAACGAGUUUCCUUGUCUAUCCACAUCAUGUGUUCAUUUCAUAAUCAAAUGCAGGUGGUUUCCAGGGACUUAAAAGUGACUGUGCUUCUCUCUUUAUUUUGAUGAACGAGACUGCUCUACAUGUAUGCUUUAAUCUUCUGUGAACACAAGAGUCAAGGUUUUAUCCAGAACUAAAGCAGUGAUCAUGACUGAGGAGGCGGCAGAAGAAGUGAUGACGAUGACUGGGAGGAUGAUUUUUUUUUUGGAAGUUUUCUGCCAAGGGUGAACUACAGGAGCUGAACAAUUAGACCAUUAGAGUUGAUUAGUUGAGCUAUGCUCCUUGGGAAAGCGUGCUAUGGUGUCACUUUCGGGGGUCGUGUGCACAGCUUCCUUGACAUGUGUCAAACUAGUACACAGUAUUUUAUUGUGUUACUAGACCACAAAAGUACAUUGUUUAGUAUGUCAAUGUUGGCACAAAGUAUAAUGUGAAAAGAUGGGCUUGUAUAUUCUCCAUUGAUGAAGGAAUCGUCAGGGCUGGGACACAAAAAGAAGAAAAAGAAGAAGAAAAGAGACCAACUCUGUAUGGGGAAAAGAUUUGAAUAAUAUUCAGAAAAUGAAAUAUGUAAAAAAAGUUUAUACCUUAUCCUUUCAUUGACAAAAUGAACAGCGUGAGAUCUCAUCAAAAUAAAAGAUAAAUACUCACGUAAAAACAUGAAAACUUAAAUAGAGUUCAAAUGUCUGGCAAACAAACUAAAGAACAGAGCAACAUGUACACAUAUGUGGGAAAUUUAAGCUCGAGGGUAGUAAGGAUACAGUUCUAAUAAGAAGAAACACUGUUUUGGGAAACACUGACCUCUAGUGGCAAGUCCAGAAUCCUUUCAGGAAUGGAUUUGAUACUGAUGCUAGUUUCUCAAACAGAAAAAAAGUGUAAAGAGUAAACUUCUUUGCAAAAUCAGUAACUUUUUCUUUAAUAUGACGAAUUCAGAAAAAAACAACAGGAAAAUAGACAAGCCUAACGCAAAUAAUGCAGCCUUUAUUUUAAAGCUGCUGAUGCGUCAUGAUUACAUGUACGUUCAUUGUGUGUGAAUGGUUAGUGACUCACUUUUACAUGUACAUUUUUGUUUCAGUGUAAGCAUUAUUUGUUUCACUGAGUUUUGUUUAGUGUGUUUCACACUUUUAUUUAGUACAAAUUACUGUAUUUCAUAUAGUAAUAAGUAAUUACUAAUAAUUUGUACUAUUAGUAAUAUGGAGAUUGAAGGGCUCUAUAUGGCAGCCUGGGAAGACUUUUCAGAGGUCAAUUCACUAUAUACACAAACACACACACAAACAUAUAUAGACACACACACAGUGUAGUAAAAAUAAUCCUUAAAAGGACAUAAUUAGAUGAAACAAAAUAAGUUUAUUUAAAGCGCUAAAACAAGAAUUCAUUUCCUGUCUUAAAAGUCUUUCAAAUUCAGCUGUAAUUAUGUUCCAUAAACAGCUUUUAAAUGAUUAUUGAUUACAAUUGGAAAUGGAGGUUCAGGGAAAACUUGUUGCUUUAAGAACUACAGUUAUUUUCCCAGGCUGCCACACGAAGGAAUGCUUUAUCACUCCGUAGUCUUCAAUACGAGGGAUCAGUACUGAUUCAUUUCGAUUGUAGAACAUUUAUCUAUUGGUUUAUUUCCACCUUUUACUUGGUUGUGUGACAUCAAUUGGCUGGUAUGAUUGUGAUGAUUGUGUUAAGUGUGCACUUUAAAACAUGAAGGAGUUUGUAUGGAAGAAUUUGGCCUUUCACUGUUUAUGUUUGAUGAGUCUAUGAAACACCAUUUACAGACAGGAGGAAUAAAGAAAUACUGCUUUAAAGUGUAUGCUUAGAGUGCGGCUUGAAUAUUUGACAGCCUUCACUGAUUGAAGUCGCAUGUAAAACUCCUAUUAAAUCUUUAAUUUCUGAA